GUGAAUAUAGCGCAUCUCUUCGGAGAGCGUGACCUCCACUUUCAACUCUGUGCAUUUUUUUGGCGAGGGAACGAGACGAAGCGACGCAAGUUGCAGACUCUCGCCUCUUGCGGCUCAUUUUAAACACUAGUUAAAGUAUGUAACGAAAUAUCGAAACAAAAG
rnacentral:misc_RNA from 1 species